rnacentral:rRNA from 1 species
GACGAACCGUGCGAACGUUAUUCGGAAUCACUGGGCUUAAAGCGCGUGUAGGCGGGAGGGCACGUCCGUUGCUGAAAUCCCCCGGCUCAACCGGGGAACGGGCGCGGAUACGACUCUCCUUGAGGGGCGUAGGGGGACCUGGAACUUCCCGGUGGAGCGGUGAAAUGCGUUGAGAUCGGAAGGAACGCCCGUGGCGAAAGCGAGGUCCUGGACGCCUACUGACGCUGAGACGCGAAAGCCAGGGGAGCGAACGGG